UACAGAGGUCGUCAAGCGUUGUUUCGGAUUCAUUGGGCGUAAAGGGGUGCGUAGGUGGCGCCGGUAAGUUCGGGUGUGGAAAUUUCGGAGCUUAACUCCGAAACUGCAUUCGAUACUGCGGUGCUUGAGGACUGGAGAGGAGACUGGAAUUCAUGGUGUAGCAGUGAAAUGCGUAGAGAUCAUGAGGAAGACCAGUGGCGAAGGCGGCCAACUGGGCCGACCCUGACGCUGAGGCACGAAAGCGUGGGGAGCAAACAGG
rnacentral:rRNA from 1 species